AGCAAGUGGCGAUUGGUGGGUGGCGAAUGAAUUUGUUUUCGGGUCGACGACGGUCGUUUGGCGUUUAGGGUUAGGUCGUCGUAAAGAAAAUAUCCAUCGUUUGAUAACGAAGAAGUUAAAACGAUUUUAAACAACAUAAUUUGGGUUUUCAAGAUCUCAAGCAAAUAUAAUCUACCUACUAGUUAACAUCCAUUUUACAUAAUAACUUAAACCAGGAAAGGUGGGGUUUAUUUCCUGUCUGGAACAGAUUCUGCUUUACUUUAAGAUGGAAUUGGUAAUAUUUUUUAACACUAAUUACUUUAUGGAAAUAGUAAUAAGUGUGAAUGUUUGGCUUGCUCUUUAAGAUAAAAAUCAUUGACUUAAUAGUAUAUGGAUACAAAAAAAAAAUACAAUAGUGUGUGUGAAAUUUUAAAUAUUGCAUCUUGAAUAUUGAUCUUUAAUUUUUUUGUAAUAAUUAGUACUUUUAUGUAAUUAGCUUAAAAUUAAAGUAGAAUUUAUUUAUGAGAAAAAUUGUAGAUUUCUCAUAGAAAUUUAUGGUGAAAUCUUUUAUCAUUGAACUUGGAAGAUCUGGAGUACAAAUUUAAAUGCCUCUGUAUGUUUAUUUAUUUAACCUUAAAUCAAAACUACUCUAAAAUGAAAUGAUUUCUAAGAAAAACUUUUUCAAAUUUUAAAACAAUUUAUAAUCAAGUUAACGGCUAGUUAUUCAUUUGUAAUUCAAAAUCAUUAUUUCCAAAUUAUAACCUGAUUAUUUACAGCAGUUGGGGGUGUCUAUUUUGCUAUACAUUGGGUUUCAGUUGGUGUUUAUAUUUGUAUAUGUAUGCAUUGCCAUGUAUGCGAUGGCCAACUGUGAGUGCAUUGAGUGGAUGUUUCUGGAUGAGGGUGCAAUUGCGUCCCCAGUUGGCACUGUAAUAACCAACAAUGGUUAUAUCUUAAGCUUAUAUUUACUGAAAGAGGAGAUUAGACCAGAGGUCCGGGUAGCGUAACUGGUAACACAAUCACACGGUAAGCAAAAGUUGCAGGUUCAGGCCAAUUCUUUUCUUCCAGUUUAA